CCUACGGGAGGCAGCAGUCGAGAAUCAUUCACAAUGGGGGAAACCCUGAUGGUGCGACGCCGCGUGGGGGAAUGAAGGUCUUCGGAUUGUAAACCCCUGUCAUGUGGGAGCAAAUUAAAAAGAUAGUACCACAAGAGGAAGAGACGGCUAACUCUGUGCCAGCAGCCGCGGUAAUACAGAGGUCUCAAGCGUUGUUCGGAAUCACUGGGCGUAAAGCGUGCGUAGGCUGUUUCGUAAGUCGUGUGUGAAAGGCGCGGGCUCAACCCGCGGACGGCACAUGAUACUGGGAGACUAGAGUAAGGGAGGGGGAACCGGAAUUCUCGGUGUAGCAGUGAAAUGCGUAGAUAUCGGGAGGAACACUCGUGGCGAAGGCGGGUUCCUGGACAGUAACUGACGCUGAGGCACGAAGGCCAGGGGAGCGAAAGGGAUUAGAUACCCCUGUAGUC
rnacentral:rRNA from 1 species